rnacentral:rRNA from 1 species
UGGGGAAUAUUGGACAAUGGGCGCAAGCCUGAUCCAGCCAUGCCGCGUGGAUGAUGAAGGCCCUAGGGUUGUAAAGUCCUUUCGACGGGGAAGAUAAUGACGGUACCCGUAGAAGAAGCCCCGGCUAACUUCGUGCCAGCAGCCGCGGUAAUACGAAGGGGGCUAGCGUUGCUCGGAAUCACUGGGCGUAAAGCGCACGUAGGCGGACUCUUAAGUCGGUGGUGAAAUCCUGGAGCUCAACUCCAGAACUGCCUUCGAUACUGAGAGUCUCGAGUCCGAGAGAGGUGAGUGGAACUGCGAGUGUAGAGGUGAAAUUCGUAGAUAUUCGCAAGAACACCAGUGGCGAAGGCGGCUCACUGGCUCGGUACUGACGCUGAGGUGCGAAAGCGUGGGGAGCAAACAGGAUUAGAUACCCAGGUAGUCUGAGCGGGCUGGCAAGGCGCAU